rnacentral:lncRNA from 1 species
UCCCUCCCUCAAAUUUAGUCAAAUUUUAAUUUUAAUUCAAAAUUACACCUUCCUCGGCUGCUCCGCGCUGCAACGGAGAAUGAUGAUCCCUCCUCAUAGUCUUCGCCCCCUGCUCGGCUGCUCCAUCUCCGCCUUGAAUCAGGUCAGUCAUUGCGCGGCCGCCUGCCGUUCUCAGCCUCACUAAUUUAGGCGUUCUAGCUUUGAGCUUGUUCGCACCAUUUUUCAAAACCCUAAACUCCAAUUUUUCCUUUUCGAAAUUCCACCAGAAAAUGGCCUCGGAUAUUCGAUCGGUGAUAGAAAGAAGCGGUGACGGCGUGGGACAACCAAUACAUGAUGCCAACAAUCGGAUGUGCUAAUGCACGAGAAGCCUGGCGUCUCCAUCGUCCUUGGCAGCAGCCGCCGCCCGCUGGAAUCCCUCGGCACUCUUAACAUCACCUCCAGGUUGUCUAAGCGAUUGAUUCUCAUUGCAUUUUCUAUACGUAGCUUUAUGGUGUGAUUGAUUGUUUUGAUCUUUGUAUGAAAAAAGCAGUGAUGUGCUUGAGUGACUCGAACAUAGUGAAAGGCUAUAUAUGAUGUCGACUUCAUUUUUGUGUCUCUUCACGCAGUGUCCAGAGAUCCCGAGGUUUACGCUUCUCCUUGCAUCUAUGCUCAUGUGAUUCGUCCUUAGUCUAAAUGCCCAAGCUCUUUGUUUUUUAUUUUGUAAUUUACUUUGUUAAAUGGAAUUUAAGUUGCAUUUCGAAGUUUAGGAUGUGAUAUUGGUGAUUUGUGCUUAAAUAUUUUGUAUUUUUAUCGUUGAUAUAUUGUUAUAGUUUUGAGUUAUGAUUCUCGUGAUAUGGAAGAAGUUUCAUUUCCUGGUUUGAGAUUAAUUUGAGUUUGUCUUAGUAUUAAAUGGACCGAAUACUUUUAUCUGUGUUGUAGUUAAACAUAUUGGAAUCUUUUAUAGUUAGUUGUAAAGAAUAGCUGAUUUAUGUAGAGUUCUUUUUUGAAGUUAUGUGAAUGUAACAUUAAUCACAUUUGUGGAGAGAAUUUAUGUACGUGAGAGAUACCCUUCAUAUGAAAGGUGAGACGUAGAGCAAUUAACUCUAUGUUAUGUGUGGAAGAUUGAUUUAUCUUUAAGUCUUUGACCACGUAGAGACGUGUGUCUUGUACUAUUUAUCUCUGAUUUCAGGGAGCACAAAGUUCUAAAUUUUAAGUAGGUGUUUGUUGAAAUUAAGUAAUGCAAUUCUUAGACUUUUUUCUUUAACUCACAUGUUUUCAACUCAGCCAUGUAGUCUGAUGAUGUUGCAUUCUACUUGCAGGUUCUUGUAAGCUGGUGAUGUUAAAGAUCCCCAAAUAUCACAUCUACGCUCUUCUAUUUAUGUGAGUGACGAAUUUUCUUUCCCAUAAUUUUCUGAUAGUCUAAAUGUAUCUUUGUUUGAUCAUUCAAUCCCCCAACACAAUUAUGCAACAUCGACUAUGCAACUUGUGGGAGCCUACAACCAGUUUCCCCAGUCCCUCUUUGGGCGUCUAAGAUAUCUACAUAAUUCCAGUUGUAGAAAUUCUGCUGGAAAAUAUCAAGAACAAAUGGAUACGUUUCACAUGCUACAUUUACAUUGAUGUGAACGAUAUUGGCAUGAUUCAAGAAGCUGACAUUGGAGUUGGCAUCAGUGGAUGUGACGUAACACAUAAUAUGAUAGAUUUUUGUUUUAGUUGUGUGGUACUUGAUAUUUUUAAUUUCGAAUCGAUUGAUGAUAUGUACUUAAUACUCGAUACUUUGUGGUUAAAUUUAGGUAUGAAGUUUGUAUUAAUAUUUGCUACAAAAUUAUUGUAUG